UACAGAGGGUGCGAGCGUUGUCCGGAAUCACUGGGCGUAAAGGGCGCGUAGGUGGCCUGAUAAGUACGGGGUGAAACCCUGCAGCUUAACUGCAGGACGGCCUCGUAGACUGUCCGGCUUGAGCAUGGUAGAGGCUGGUGGAAUUCCCGGUGUAGCGGUGGAAUGCGUAGAGAUCGGGAAGAACAUCGGUGGCGAAGGCGGCCAGCUGGGCCAUUGCUGACACUGAGGCGCGGCAGCGUGGGGAGCAAACAGG
rnacentral:rRNA from 1 species